rnacentral:rRNA from 1 species
GUCUACGGCCAUACCAACCUGAACGUGCCUGAUCUCUUCUGACCUCAGAAGCUAAGCAGGUCAGGCCUGGUUAGUACUUGGAUGGGAGAAUGCUGAGAAAUAACAGGUGCUAUAGGCU